GCUCUGCUCUGCUGCCCCUAGCAGAUUCAUUGGUGUGGGGCGGAUUCUCUGCGUGUGUUUGCAGAGCAUUGAACAGAGCACAGCUCCAGUCCUCCUUGGGGCUGCAAAAUGAAGAUGAUGUUGAUUCCUGGUUUCAUUUACAGCACUUUGAUAUUUAUGUUGUGGCCCUGCUGUAGAAGAAAAGUGUGAUUCUGUAAAUUCUUCAGUCUUGUCUCCUGGUGUUGAAAAUGGGCAACACUGUGCUUGGUGGGAUCACAACAGUAUUGUUGCAGGCAUAAAUAGAGAUGGGAUCAGCAGUGUGGCUGUGCAAGUUGGGUAGAAAAAUAAAUUG